rnacentral:tRNA from 1 species
GCCCGUGUGGUGUAAUGGUAACAUAGAGGACUGUGGAUCCUCUGCCGCGGGUUCGAUUCCCGCCACGGGCCCCA